rnacentral:rRNA from 1 species
UGGGGAAUAUUGCACAAUGGGGGAAACCCUGAUGCAGCAACGCCGCGUGAAGGAAGACGGUUUUCGGAUUGUAAACUUCUUUUCUUAGUGAAGAAGCAAGUGACGGUAGCUAAGGAAUAAGCAUCGGCUAACUACGUGCCAGCAGCCGCGGUAAUACGUAGGAUGCGAGCGUUAUCCGGAAUUACUGGGUGUAAAGGGAGCGCAGGCGGGACUGCAAGUUGGAUGUGAAAUACCGCAGCUUAACUGCGGAGCUGCAUCCAAAACUGUAGUUCUUGAGUGGAGUAGAGGCAAGCGGAAUUCCGAGUGUAGCGGUGAAAUGCGUAGAUAUUCGGAGGAACACCAGUGGCGAAGGCGGCUUGCUGGGCUCUAACUGACGCUGAGGCUCGAAAGUGUGGGGAGCAAACAGGA